rnacentral:rRNA from 1 species
UACGGGGGGGGCAAGCGUUGUUCGGAAUUACUGGGCGUAAAGGGCUCGUAGGCGGCCAACUAAGUCGGACGUGAAAUCCCCAGGCUCAACCUGGGAACUGCGUCCGAUACUGGAUGGCUUGAAUCCGGGAGAGGGAUGCAGAAUUCCAGGUGUAGCGGUGAAAUGCGUAGAUAUCUGGAGGAAUACCGGUGGCGAAGGCGGCAUCCUGGACCGGCAUUGACGCUGAGGAACGAAAGCCAGGGGAGCAAACGGG